rnacentral:lncRNA from 1 species
UUUCAUCUCGUCAUCUCCUUCAGGUGUCAUGGCCUUCGAACUUGGUGACUUCCCUAUGAUUGCCUUCUUUACCUUGACAAUUGAUUUCUUCACCUUUGAUAUUAUGUUGUUCCCCUGGCUUUUAGAAGAUUUCUUACUGGGAACAUCUGUCUUCCGAGCCUCUUCUUCUACUUUUGUAUCACCACUGUCUUUGGUGGUUUCAGCUGAGCACUGAUCAACAACCUUUUCGGUCUCUUGUUUUUUGUCUUCUGAACUUUCUAACUCUUUAGAAUCACAUUCUGGAUCGUUACGAGAUGCCUUGUUGUUGUUUUCAGCUCCAACUAAGUUGAUGUCUCGAGAUGCUUCAGCCACAGUCAACUUUUCACUUUCCAAACUCUCAUUCUUCAUCUGAUUAAUCUUUACUUCUUCAGAGAUUCCAGUCACUUCACUUUCAACAAUUGUUUGGAUUGUCUCGCCUAAGGUUGUUUUAUCGACAUCUAUAGUGCUUCCUUUCGUCUCUUUCUUAACAUCGACUUCUGGCUCAACUGCACAUUCAGCAACUUCAGUUGCCGGGAUGGUAUCAGAAACUUCUAUGACACUUGUGGCUGACACUCUUUCUUCUCCCGC